UACGUAGGGUGCGAGCGUUACUCGGAAUUACUGGGCGUAAAGCGUGCGCAGGCUGUUCUGUAAGUCAGAUGUGAAAUCCCAGGGCUCAACCCUGGAACUGCCUUUGAUACUGUCGAUCUGGAGUAUGGAAGAGGUGAGUGGAAUUCCGAGUGUAGAGGUGAAAUUCGUAGAUAUUCGCAAGAACACCAGUGGCGAAGGCGGCUCACUGGACCGGUAUUGACGCUGAGGUGCGAAAGCGUGGGGAGCAAACAGG
rnacentral:rRNA from 1 species